CCUACGGGUGGCAGCAGUGAGGAAUAUUGGUCAAUGGCCGAGAGGCUGAACCAGCCAAGUCGCGUGAGGGAAGACGGCCCUACGGGUUGUAAACCUCUUUUGUCGGGGAGCAAAGCGAACCACGUGUGGUUCAUUGAGAGUACCCGAAGAAAAAGCAUCGGCUAACUCCGUGCCAGCAGCCGCGGUAAUACGGAGGAUGCGAGCGUUAUCCGGAUUUAUUGGGUUUAAAGGGUGCGUAGGCGGGAUGCCAAGUCAGCGGUAAAAAUGCGGUGCUCAACGCCGUCGAGCCGUUGAAACUGGCGUUCUUGAGUGGGCGAGAAGUAUGCGGAAUGCGUGGUGUAGCGGUGAAAUGCAUAGAUAUCACGCAGAACUCCGAUUGCGAAGGCAGCAUACCGGCGCCCUACUGACGCUGAGGCACGAAAGCGUGGGUAUCGAACAGGAUUAGAUACCCGGGUAGUC
rnacentral:rRNA from 1 species